CCAGAGCAGAUUUAUUAUGCUGGCCCUGUCAACAAUCUUGGAUUUGAAAUUCCCAAGGGAGAAUACGAGGUUUUGAUGAGACUGUAUAAUGAAAACGAUUUCAUGGUGGCCUGUGCCAAUGCCACCGUCAUACGUUUCUGAGCAUCUCAAAAGCACAGCAAUCUGUCUCAUGGGAACUCUGAGCUCCUCAUGGGAACUCUGAGUUCUUGCACCUACUAUGUAAGAAGAACCAGCUGACAACAGAGAGAGCCUCUACAAGGGUAGCCUAGAGUGCAGGCUCUGACUUUAACCCCAGGACCAGGAAGCCGCAGACGCCGCAGAUGCAAUGAAGCACCUGAACUUUCCUGCUUCUAAGGAGCCAACUCUCCUGGUAGUCACUAUGCAGUCUUGAGGGUCCAUCCUUUUUCUCUACAUGGUACCUCACACCAGAUGUCCCUGCUUUUCAGCUCCUAGGAGCACUUCCUCAGUUACCCAGAAUAAAGAAAGGUGGCUCACAA